ACUCCUACGGGAGGCAGCAGUGGGGAAUAUUGCACAAUGGGGGAAACCCUGAUGCAGCCAUGCCGCGUGUGUGAAGAAGGCCUUGGUUGUAAAGCACUUUCAGUAGGGAGGAAGGUAGUGUAGUUAACACCUGCAUUAUUUGUACGUUACCUACAGAAGAAGCACCGGCUAACUCCGUGCCAGCAGCCGCGGUAAGUACGGAGGGUGCGAGCGUUAAUCGGAAUUACUGGGCGUAAAGCGCAUGCAGGCGGCCUGUUAAGUCAGAUGUGAAAGCCCGGGGCUUAACCUCGGAAUUGCAUUUGAAACUGGCAGGCUAGAGUCUUGUAGAGAGGUAGAAUUUCAGGUGUAGCGGUGAAAUGCGUAGAGAUCUGAAGGAAUACCA
rnacentral:rRNA from 1 species